AGGGGUGGGGCUUCCGGCUCAAUCUCUAUGCCACUUCCUCGCGGCAGUCUAGAAUGACCUUGGAAAGUCAGAGGGUUUGCUGAGGGCAAUUCUUUGGGCCAGGUUUCCGGUUAGUGACCAACGGCCUUUCCUUAACGGCCUUAUAUUCUAGUUUGGAAACAGAAAGAUUCUAUCUGAAACGGCGAAAACUUCCAAAAGAAAUUUCGGUGCCCGAAGAAAGGGCUGUGUCUCUCGGGAGGACCACUUUGCGGCGGGAGAGGAGUGAGCUUUGCUGUCCCCGUGGGUAGAGGCGGCUGAAUUGUGUUCAGCAGCACUCGGGUGACAGGGAUCCUGAUCUGUACUGCCCUUUGGGCUGAGGUAUUUAGAUACACCCGGAGCAACGUGACCAGUUCUGCGACCUCUUCUCCCUGUUACAGGAAGGAUAUUGAUAAGCUGGAGAGCGUCCAGAAGAGAGGAGACAGAAUAGUGAGAUCACUAGAGACCAUGUCCAAAAAGGAAUGGUUGAAGGAACUGGGAGUAAAUUGGGAGAAGACGAGUCUUAAGUCGAGUAAGGGUGAGAGAAGACAAGAUUCCCCAUGCCCAAGUUUUUGAAGAUUCUUUUGGAAAAAUGAAGAAUCUGCCUUUGAUUCCAGGUCAGACAUUUUCUGAAGAUGGAAUUGUUAUAAAUAUUCCUAAAUGGUGAUAAUUAUGGAGAAGUCUGUGGACCAUUAAAGAGAGCCAAGAAUCCAUGUAGGAAAGAGCCUAAAGAAAUUCCUUUCUCAAAAAAGUUUUAGAAAAAGAUUAUUUAUGUGAUAUAUAGGUUAAAAUUUUAAAUACUACUCAUAUCUUUUUUGGACAACAGAUAAUGCAUACUAGGGAGGAAUAAUAUGUCAUGAAUGUGGAAAAGGAUUUAGCUAAAUUUCAAACCUAAACAUCAGAAAAUCAAACAGGAGGGAAAUAAUUUAUGAGCAGUGAAUGUGAAUGAAACCUGUAGGUUUAAUUUACACAUAGGCAAAUUAACACCAGAAAGAAUUAAAAAUGAAUGUGGAAAAGCCUGCAGAAGGAAUAUAUGGCUUACUCCACAGAGAAUUCAUAAUAGAAAAUAAUCUUAUUACUAUAAUAAAUGUGGGAAAGCAUUCUUUAAAAGGCAAACUUCAUUCAACUCCAAAUAGUAAUGGAGAGAAACUUUAUCACUAUAAUAAAUGUGGAAAAGUAUUCAGCCAAAAGGCAAGCCUUAUUCAACUUCAGAGAAUUCAUACUGCAUAGAAACCCUAUUAGUGUGAUGAAUUUCAGAAAUCACAUUCAGAAGUCAUAAUAGAAUGCAACUGUAUUAGACAUCAGAGAAUUCAUGUUGGUGAGAAACCUUAUCAGUUUAAUGUCAAAGCAUACAGUGCCAGUGCAAAUUUUAUGUGACUCUUGAGGAUUCAUACUAGAGAGAAACCCUUCCAAUGAAAUUAAUGUAGGAAAGUGUUCAGUUGGAAUGCAAAUCUGAUCCUACUCCAAAACCCAAAAAAUAUGAGAGAAACUCAUGAAAUGAAUGUGAGAAACCUUCAAAAUGCAAAGUUCAUUUGGCUCCAGAGGAUUCAUAUUGGAGAGAAGCCAAAGCAUAAUGAAUGUGGGAAAAUAUUGAGUUGAACUACAAGACUUAUUCAACUCCAGAUCAUUCUUAUUGGAGAGAAAUCCUAUCAGUGUAGUGAAUGUGGAAAGCAUUCAGUUGGAGUACAAAUUUUAUUCAAUUCCAAAGAAUUCAAACAGAAAUUUUAUCAGUGUAAUGAAUGUGGGAAAGCCUUCAGCUGAAAUUCAAAACAGUUCAACUCUAAGGAAUUCAUAGAGGAGAAACCUCAGUGUAGUGAAUUGUGAAAGCUUUCAGUAAGAAAGCAAGACUUAAAGAGAAUUCACAAUGGAGAGAAAUUCUGUAAUUGUAUGAGUGUAUGAGAGAGCACUCAGAGGGCAGACCUUACUCAACUCCAGAGACUGAAUACUGGGAAGAAACCCAAUUUGUGUAAUGGAUGUGGGAAAAGUCUUUGGUCAAAAGCAUUAGUCAGCUUAAGACAAUUCACACUAGAGAAAGUCCCCUUCAAUAUAAGGAAUGUGGGAAAGCAUAUAUGGGAGUUGGACUAAAAAACUUAGUGAAAUUCAGAGACUUCCUAUUGGAGAAAAGCCUUAGCUAUAAUGAGUGUGGCUGAAUGUUCUAUAGCAAUGCAAAUCUGAUUCAACUCCAAAGAUUCAUACUGGAGAGAAAUUCUAUCAGUGCAAUGAAUGUGGGAAAGUCUUCAGUUAGAAAAUGAGGCUUAUUCUACUUAAAAGAAUUCUAUUGGAGAGAAAUCCUAUCAGUGUAAUGAAUGUGGGAAAGUCUUCAGUUAGCAAACCUUUAUUUACUUAAAAAGAAAGAUACAGGAGAAAAAUCCUAUUUGUGCAAUGAAUUUUGGAAAGCAUUCACUGGAAGUGCAUACUAAUUCCUGAAUUUGGGGGAGAAACCCUAUCAUUGUAGUGCAUGUGAGGAAGACAAAACCUUAUUCAAUUCCAGAGAAUUUAUAAUGGGGUUUAAAAAAAAAAACACCCUUUCAUUGUAAUGAAUGUGAGAAAGUCUUCAGUUGGAGUGCAAAUCUUACUCAACUCCAGAGAAUUCAUAUUGGUAAAAACCCUUUCAGUGAAAGGAAUGGAAAAACCAGAAAUUAGAGCUCAACCUUAUUUGUGUAUCAUGUAAUUCAUAUUGGAUAGGAAUGGUUAUAGUUCAUUGUGGCUGUUCUUAGUACUUUGAGAUUUUUACAAAAGAGAAUACAGAGUACUCAUUACAAAAGGAAAAAAGCUUUAAUAAGCAUCUGGAAGUGCAUUUUGCUUCACAUAAAGGAAAAUUUAGGGUCCAAAAUAAGAAAUCUGAGAGCAAGAGAAAAGAAGGGAAUACAAAGACUUCAUCAAGAUCUCCAAAAAGAAUUGAACUAUAACUGCAUUUCAGCAGAAGGAACAUAAUUCAUCUAGAUGAAUACGAGACAAGUUGGAAGGACAUAACCCAGCUUCAGGUGCAAUGAACUUCAAUCUGUAUCAUAAGGAAGAAGAUCCAUUGACUUAGGACAUCUGAUGUUAAUUGGGAAGAAGGCAACAGGAAGUUUUGGGAUAUGGAGGUUCCAGAAAAAAGGCAGCAUUUGGAGUGCAUGGAAGCAGAAAUAGGUGUAUUUAGAACAGAGAUAACCUGUCACAAUAAAGGCUAGGUUCAGAAAACCAAAGAGGACCCUUUCCCAAACUACUCACUGGCUGGAAGCUAUUCUUAGUACUAAACAUUUUGGGGAUUUGUCUGAACCUCUUGCUUAGGGAGAACAUUUCCUCCUCCCUCCUGGCUGAAGAGUAACCAGUAGUCGAUGAGAAGGAUGAGACUUGGGUCCAGAAGAAUUAUUCUCACUGUUAGAGUGGUAUGACCAAAAAAAGGAGCCUUUGACUUAAGCCCUGUACAGCCUCCUAGAGGUAGACUUCCCAUCCUUGGAUAAAUAGUUGUUCAUUAAUUUCAAUAUUCCUUUAGCAAUCCAUUCUACCUUUCUAUUCCAUUUUAAUUUCAAUUUAGUUCUAAUUAGCCUUUUCAUUCCAGGGUGGAGGUAUUGAGGUGUAUGGGAGUAGAUCACAUGAAAAGACAUACAAAUGGCAUAUCUGAGACAGAAUCCUGAUCAAGGAAGAAAUGUUCCUUGAAAGAAGGGGGAUGCUUUAGUUCACUUGACAGGUGUAGGACCAAUGGAGAUGUCUCCAUACUAAAACUAUAUGUUGGGGCACAAUAUUUGGCAGGCAGGGUAUUUGUUCAACAGUGAUAACCUAAUCUCUAGUGAGAGGCCAUGGUAUUGAUACCAUUAGGAAUCUUAACUGCCAUGGCCACUGAUUCUAUGGGUCCAUGUAGCUUGAAGAUGACUUUCAAAUUCAAGUGUAAUAGUGGUUUAUAGUAAUAUCUUUUUGACUGGGUGGUCAGGAUUGAUUGGUUUAUUACAGACCAUGAUUACAUGGUCUGUAAACAUGUCCUACUUCUGCUUUUUGGCCCUACCUCACUGUUCUAAUCUUCCAAUAUUGUCUUAGCAAGUUGCACACUAUUCUACCAACCUAUUCACAGAUAUCUAGAAGUCAGUAAAUGGUAUAUUUUAACAGGCACUGUGUUGGAUAGUAGUCUGCCUAGAAUUUGGCUCAUUGUGAUAUAUUCAUAUCCCAGUGGCAAGGCCAACUUCAUUGUUCUUUGAAUAAGGAUUACUGAGUGGGUCCCAUUCAAUAGCAGAUAUGCAUUUAGAACAGGGAUUCUUAAUCUUUUUUGUGUCAUGGACCCCUUUGGUAGUCUGGUAAAGGCUAUGGUUCCCUUCUCAGAAUAAUCUUAAAUGCAUAUGAAUAUGUAGGAUUACAAAAGAAACAAGUUUUAUUGAAAUAAAUAUUUUUUACAAUUUUCUAUAUCUCUGUUCUGGGGUGGGCCUGACUCAGAGCAGUUCUCUCCUUGCAUAACAAAGUGAGAUACACAAAGAUCAGCUAACAAAUUUACUCGGCCAUAUUAUGAGAAGGCUAUUCAACAAGGAUGGUUAUAAAUAGCACCUCCCAGGGUUGUUGUGAGGAUUUAAUGAGGUAAGCAUAGUACCUGGCACAUGGUAGGUGCUUCAUACAUGCUUAUUCCCUUUCCCUAUUGUCUUCUUAUCUCAUCCUAAGAUUGGGGUCAGGAGUGGAGUGAAGUUGAUGACUAAGGAAAAGUGAAGCCACUGGGGAUACUUCCUGAAUGGAUAAGCUGUGAAAGUUUCAACCCACACAAGAGUUGUGGUCAGGCACAACUAGUGUUCCUCUUCCACCAAACAACUUCUAUCCCCAUUCGUUGUCAGUCUCUGUGUAUAGCAUUCUCCUGGUUAUGCUCCUUUAGCUCUGCAUCUGUUCAUGGAGGUCUUUCCAGUUUAGAUAGAAAUCAAGCAUAUUAUAGCAUAAUAUUCCAUCAUCAUCAUGUACCACAAUUUGCUAAGCCAUUCCCCAAUUGAGGGACACCCCCUCAUUUUCCAAUUUUUUGCCACCACAAAAAGUGCAGCUAUAAAUAUUUUUGUACAAACUUAAAAAAAAAAAACUCUUUGGGAUACAAACUCAAUAGUGAUAUAUCCGACCUCUUGAACUAACAAGUUUUCCUGCAAGAUGGAUUUGUCUAUUUCAAAUUAAUUUUUCCGUUGCUUUUUUCAGAGAAAACUACACAAAGCAGAAAGGUAGCCAGGGCUCUGAUCUAGUUUUAGUCAAACAUUUAUUAAGGACCUAGUAUGUGCCAGGCACUGUGCUAAGAACAGUUAAGUUAUAAAAAGGUAAAAGACGGUACCCGUUUUUCAAAGAAGAUUUUUCUAAUUAUAUAUAAUUUUCAACACAGAUUUUCAAAAAUAAGACCCAAAUUGUCUCUCCUUCCCUCCCUCUUACCUGAGAUGGCAAGCAAUUUGAUCUGAGUUGUUACAUGUAUGAUCAUGCAAAACAUUAACAUAUUAGUCAUUGUUAUUAUACUUCCCAGCCAUUGUCACAGAAUCAAGGAACCAUUAAGGGGAUAGCUUCAUUUCCCCAAAGUGCCAGAGUCCAAGAGCGCUGAGUCAGUCAGUACAUAUGAUUAGCUGGAAUGAGGCAGGUAAGGUGUAUUGUCCUGUGAAACCUAGAACUCAAGUUUAUUUGCACAAGACUCUCCAUAGGGUUGAAAAAUGAUUAAUCUGUAUUUAAAAAUAACUCUUUAAUUUCCAUCUUAGAAUCAAUACUCUGUAUUGGUUCUUAAACUGAAAAGUGGUAAGAGCUAGGCAAUAGGGGUUAAGUGACUUACCCCGGGCCACACAUUUGAACCUAGGACUCUUGUCUCUAGGCCUGACUCUAGGCCAUUCAGCUGCCCCCUAAUCAGUGCUUCUUGCCUACAUGAGGCAAUGUUGGCAAGAGUUUUGGAUGAGAAGAGAUUGUAAUACUUGUUUCCAGCUUCAAGAAAGUACAGAAUUCCAGAUUCUUUUCAGGGAAAGACUCUAGGAAGAAGCCUAUAUAUAGAGGAGCUAGCACCUUAGUCAUGUCCUUUCUCCAGUUUACCACAGAAUUAUGGGAAUUUUCCCUUAGAUAAGAUCUUGGAACUUUCUUAUUCACUAUAGGCUUCUUCUGAUGGUCUUUGUGAAACUUGCAGCUAGAUAGUGCAGUGGAUAGAGCACUGGACCUCGAGAUUAGAAGACCCAAGUUCAAAAUAAACCACAGACAUUUACUAUGUGGCUCUAAACAAGUCACUUAAUCUCUGCUUCGAUUUCCUCUGGAGGUUGUGGUGAAGAUAAAGGGAGAUAAUCUUUGGUUUUCACAAUCUGUAAGGUAAGUACUAAAUUAAAAACACAGUGAAUUGCCCAGAUUCACAUAAAUUGGAAGGAGAAAACAAGUGUAUAUUAUGUUCUAGGCACUGCACAAAGCACAUUUCACAUGUUUUCUUUUCAAUAUAUUGAUAGGUUAUGCUAACAUCUCUGACCUCAGAUACCAGCUGUGACACCGAGGAAGUCAUAUAACCCUGUUUUUCUCAGUUUCCUCAUCUGUAAAAUGAGCUAGAGAAGGACAUGACAAACCUCACCAGUAUCUUUUCCAAGAAAACCUCAAAUUGAGUCGCAAAGAGUGAUACACAACUAAAAACAACUGCACAUGUGAACUGCACCCACACUAGAGAAAUCACUGAUUUCUUGAAGUUGAAAAGCUCAUAUAUCACAGAGAAUAAGAUCAUGGUAAAUGCAAGCAUUUAACAUGUUAGAAUUCCAUUUACAUUUAGAUUUGCUCUCCCACCCAAUCCCCAGUGGGAAAACAGAGUGAAUCGUGGGUAAAAUGACAUCAGUUCCUUGGGAACCACAGGGUAACAAUUACCCAAAUAAAUGACACCUUCCUUAUUAACCAAGAAAAAAAGCAUUCCUGAAAACCCUUCACAUACCUCCCUGCCUUACUUGCCUUACCUUUAAACCUUACUAGCUAACUAUAACCACUCUAUUGCUAUAUUAUCUUGUUAAGAUAAUAUAGCUUUAUUAAGCUUGUUCCUUCUUCAUGGAAUUGGCCUGAGCUAUCAAAUUCUUUGGUUGAGACCCUAAUUUUGAUGGAGACUGGCAAUAGGCAGUUAGGGGAAGUAAUAGCAAUAAGGACCCUCAUGCUCUGAAAUCUUAUAUUUCUCACUAUUUAGUACUAGUUAAACAUCAAAUGAAAAACCUGUACAGUUUCAGCACUAGUUAAGUGAGGGAGGCCUGAGCAGGAAACGGCCUGGCCUUGGAAGUUCAGAACCACAAAUAUGCCAAGAUCCCAGCUGCAGUGGAUACCAGAUAAGAACUUAGAGGCCAAGAAGACCCCAGUAACAUAAAAAUGUCAAAGUUCCAAGAAUAGUAUGUAACAGAUAAGGGCUGAGGAGAGCCAUACAUGCCAGCAACGAUGCAACAAUGGUAUGUAACAGAUAAAGGAUUGGAAGGGGGCGCCAUACAUGCUGGAAGGUAUUUAAGGCCUAGCCUUCAGGAGGGAACUUGGAACUCUCUUGACUGAGUUUCCACUGGUGUGUGCCAGUUCAAUAAAAUGACCCUUUUGCUUGA